rnacentral:tRNA from 1 species
GGGGACGUGGCUCAGUUGGUAGAGUGCUUGCCUUAUAUGCACAAGGCCCUGGGUUCAAUCCCCAACACCUCA